UACGUAGGGGGCAAGCGUUGUCCGGAAUCAUUGGGCGUAAAGAGCGUGUAGGCGGACCUGCAAGUCGGGGGUGAAAGCCCGAGGCUCAACCUCGGAACUGCCUUCGAUACUGCGGGUCUCGAGUCCGGGAGAGGUGAGUGGAAUUCCUAGUGUAGAGGUGAAAUUCGUAGAUAUUAGGAAGAACACCAGUGGCGAAGGCGGCUCACUGGCCCGGUACUGACGCUGAGGCGCGAAAGCGUGGGGAGCAAACAGG
rnacentral:rRNA from 1 species